CGGGGCAGCCUCACGAAGGGGGGGGUUCACAAGGGCGGCGGGCGAGGCCCGAGGCGGGUGGCGGUGGUGCUGGACCGAGGCAACUGUCCUCGGGGGCCGCAGCGCUGGUGCUGGCGCCGGGCAACGGGGCGAGCCUGCUGCUGCUUCACCGCAGCGUCACGGCUGGCGGGGCGGGGGGCUCCCUUGAGCGUCGCCCCGUGACCUCGCGCCGCUGCCCCGGGCUCCAGCGGCUGCUCCCAGCCCGGCGGAGCCUCGUCCUUCCUGCCUGAGGGCUUGUGGGCCGGCUUCACGCUAAUCGCUGUGGCUCUUUGGGCUUCCACCUUGCCUGUCACAAACCCGUGGUCAUCCCCGCUCCGCGAGGCUGCUGUCAGGCUAGGCUGGUAUCUGGUUUUUGGGCCACCCUGACCUGAGAGGUGGUCCCUGCGCGUGAAUUCCACCAGGCCUAACUGCUUUGCUGAUUCGCUUCUUUCCCCUCCUAGAACGAGAUAUUUAUUCCAAACUUUGUUAAAAAGUGACUUCAUAGACUAGGAGGAAGAAGAGCUCUUUCACUGUGGCAGACAGUAAUGCCAACUCUUGAAAAAAUUUCAAGACUCCUGAUUUCCAAGUCAAAUUAACUCAUGAUUUCCUGAUAAAGACACCAAAUCUCCGGAUUUUUUUUCUUUAUAUGUAUGUAGAGAGCACCAAGCUGAGAAUACUAGGCAGGAAAGACAACUGAGGUCAAGUGACCCCAGCGAGGUGACCAUCCAGUCUCCUUUUGAAGAUUUCCAGGACUCCCCCAAAGUUGUAGCUCCAGGCUAAAUUCCGCUUAUGCUGAGAUGUUGAGCACUGAACUCCUGACAUCAUCAAAUGGGAUUCAUGUGUCAGAAGGACACCAACGUGGGAGGCAGACUGCAUUAGGGUAUAAAGCUAACAGUGAAGAAUAAACAGAAAACAGUUGACAGCAGACAGGAAGUGAAAAGCUCAACUCUGGUGAGAAAAAAAUGAGCAGUUCUGUAUACAGAUCUGUGAGUUCCAUCUGCCAGAAAGCACAGAAGCAAAGAAGGGUGUCGGAUACUAGGUAAGCAAGAGGUCUUUUUGCUUACUUCACUAUUUUUUCAUUUCAUAGUCUGGGUUCUGGGCCAUUCUUCCACUUGGUUCUUUUUGGGAGAAUAGCAACUUCCAAGAUCCCUGGAGAAUGGCAUAUUCAUUUCAAAGCAUGUGCUUAAUUGGAAUCAUUGUCAUUGGAAUUUAAUCUACCUUUUUGUUGCUUAUUCCACUUUCACACCUAUCAAGGUUUCUCAGUUGAGGAAGAGAAUGGGCUGUGGCUUAUACAACAGCUCAGACAUUAUUUUUAUUUUCAUCUUUGUUUGUUCUGUGAACAAGAUUGUACAUCUGAAUGAUUAGGGUAAUGGUUCUCAACCUUUUUAGACUCCAAUCACACCACAUUAGACUCAAGGCACACUUCAGAAAAUGCCAGCUCUUAGCUUUCACUUAUUCUUUUGACUAUGGAAAUAUAAUAGAGCAAUUCUUCAGUUGCAAAAAGCACAAUAGAGACAACAACAGGUCAGAAUGUUUUUGACAGUAUGGAUUCCUAGUUGAAAUUUCUGGGUUAACUUGUCAGUCAUGUGUCGGUGUUUGCACAGCUAACAGUGCUAAUAUUGUGUGGCAACCCACAGCACCCUUAGUGAUCUCACGACACCCAAAGAUACCAGACACCUGGGUUGAAAAUCACUGCAUUAGGGAGAUGAACUUUACUGAAGAUGAUUUAUCUAGUUAAAUCAGAUGAUUUAUCUGGUUAAUACAUAUGAAUAUAUAUGCAAAUACUAAUAUAAAAUAGCAGUGGGCUCAAGUGCCAAAUCCUGUAACUAUAUUUUUCCAGUUGUUAGUACCUAGACAUAGAAGGCUCCCAAAAUGUUAUGUCGAGAAAUAUACUUUUUAUUUUUUUUCCUUGUUCCUAUUAACAGCUUCCCAUUUUUCAGGCAUAGGGCUCUUUAGAUAAACCUGAGACUAUAAGUCACCCACUUUCCACUGAGAGGCAAUGGGAGCGGGAUGUGACUAACUCCCAAUGAAAAUCCCAUCUGUAGAUUGCAAAGCACCAGAGAUCAUUCUGGAUAAUGCCAUUAUAUGAAUAUAAGAUUAUAAUGCUUAUCCUUGUCUGCUUUUCAUGUGUGUGUAGAUUUUUAAUUUAUUAAAAUAUUUUACAAGAUAGAAUAAUAAGAGGUCAGUAUAUAAAGUAGUUAAAAGCAAUACAGUAAUCUACUUCCAGAAAGGCAAUCAGUUAUUAAAUUCAAAGGACAAUGAUGGAUUUUCUGAAGUAUAAAUUAAUAGAUGACCACGAGGUUACCAAACAAUUCAUAGACAUUUACAGGGGAUAACAAACUGAAUAGAAUAGUAUACAGUUUGCAAUACCUAAAUGAAAGCUGAGUGUGUGCAUGAAUAUGAUUCUAACAUCUCUGUAAUAAAUAUUGUUUGUUUACAUGGGCUUAUUUCUUCUUCCAAGCAAUCACCUUUACCCUGUAUCCAACAGCUUGUAGCUAAAAGAGUUCUGUUUGAGGCUUUGUUUUGGGGAUUAAAACUGUUUCACUAUAAUCUCUGUUUUUGUUUUAUAAACUGACGGAGGCAUUAGAGAUGAAAAUUAAUGCCACUGUGGAUUCAUUAAUCAUACUAGAAGGCUUGCUUUGUUAUAAUAAGCUCUUCCAGCAGAAGGCGCACAUAAUCAGUUUGGAUUUUAAAUUCAAUCCCCUAUUUAAAAAGAAGAACCUGGAGAAGCAUGGCUUCUGUUCUGGGUUCUUUUAAAGAGUGCCAUACUGUACAAAUAAUUUUGCAUUAUAGCAUGCCUUGCUUUCCAACAGUAACGACUCAUUGAUUAAAGAAGAAGGGUCUAGGGAACUGAAUGUUUGGAGUCUGAUAAUGAGAUAUAUAGUAUUUUGUCCAUAAGUCCCUAACUCAAAUGGAACUCAUGGUAAUAGUGGUCAACCACUAUUAGCACCAUUUGCUUGCUGCUGGUGGCAAGUAUAAAAUGACUUAGUGAGUCUCAAUCUACUUUUUAGUGAACAGGUGUUUUUAUAAAAAAAAAAAAAAAACCAUCACCACAGCUGGUAUUAACUGAUAUUGUCAAGAAAAAGGCCAAGGAUUGAGAAGGCAUGUUAACUAAAUUACCUUCAGAGUGAUUCCCCAAGUGUAGGGUUAGGGCCCUCUGGCAGAUGGCUAGAGGGAAGUUUGCCUAUCCACAAUUCAUGCUUUUUGUGGAUAAACAGAAGAUUUUCAGGCUUUUCAGUCUGAUAUAUGAGCAUUAGAAAGAGGGAUAAAGCUCAGUUAUAAAUCAGGAUUAGCUGCUCUGCACCAACUAAAUGUGUCUUAGCUAUUGAUAUUUAGGAAUAGUUUUAUAUAGAUGGAGGAUAUUCUGUGGGGAGAAGAGUUUAGUGACAAGGUUAAAUGAAAUAAAGCUGCAUAAAUCUCAUUAAACAAAUGUUUUAGGUCAAAAGUACAGAUUUCCCUAAAGAUGCCUCCAUUUGACCAAAGCUGAAGUAUCACCUUUUUCAUCAGUACAAAUUUAGAUAAUUUGAAAUCUUAGUCCAUGCACAUUGUCCCUUUCCCCCAUCAUUUACAUGACAGAAAAUUAGGAUUAGGUGUGGACCUUAAAAAAAACUUCAAUGAUAAUGAGGGAGCUUGAUUAUUCAGAGAUUCCCAAUUCCCUUGUGGUAUCUAAUUUCAGAGAGGAAACUGUUAAUAUAGCUGACUACACUUCCCAGCAUUCAGUGAAUCUGCCUUUAAAAUAUGCUGUCUGGGUAGGAGAGUAAUAAUCUGAAAUCAAAAAUCAGCCUCAGUGGUUUUUGGGAGUUGUAGUCAAAAUAAACUAUUGGGCAAGGUAAACUGUUGGCCAAAAAAAUGUUCAGGGACAUUCUCUUAACCUAACAUGCCUAACUGGGACAUCUAGAGGAGCAAAUAAGACUCUAUGGAGUAGCAUAAUACAACUUUAGAGAGUGCAAGACUCUCUUGAAGGGUUUUAGAUAAGAUAGUAUCUUCCUUGGCUUCAGGCCUACAAAGCUUAGGUCUCACUUUUCACACCAGAUACAGAACAGGAUUUGUGGGUGUUAAAAAUAAUCUGUUUUUGCUUCUGAAAUCCUCUUUUAAUCAUUAAAAAGAGAAGAAACAACUGUGGCUGAACCACCUUUAUGGUGAAUGUGUACAGUGUGAUUUCAUAUAUUGAUUUGACCAAUAGUGUUAUUUUUUUCAGAUAUGACUACAAAAGCAUACAACAGAAUUUUCCAAAUGUUUAAAAAUAAAAUAUGUACACCAAUUAAAAACUAGAUUUUAAUGAACUGUUAUAUUUUACAGUUGUUAUUAAAAAGUUUUGAUGAAAGGCUAUGCCUGUAGCCAAACAUUUAUAAAGCGAGUCCCCGCUUUGCUGCUGUAAGAGAUAAAUUGUUUUGUUAAUGACUUACAUCAAAAGAUCUCCAGCAGUUAUUUUCUCAAUAGGUUUAAAAAGUAGGCAUUGGUAUAUUAUCCAUUUUAUAGAUGAAUACAUUGCUAGAUAGAGAAUAGGGUAUUUUUUUUUUCAAAAGUGGCAUCUAAAUUUUCAUGACUAAUUUGGUUGCCUAACUUUAGACACCUAAUGUAUAAUUUCCAAAAGACUGAGCAUAUACAGUUCCAGUUGAGCCAUAGCUGUCUAAAGUUGGGAAACACAAGCAAGAAGCCAGCUGUGAAAAUUUGGGCCCAACUAGUCAGCUCCAAAAUCACAAAUAAACAGGAAUCCUGUGCUCUCCUAGUUCUGUGAUGUGAUCUGUAAAUUAGAUUAUUCACUUUAUUAAGCAUGGAUCUCAAAGCACAGCCAAAGAUCCUGAUUUUCAGGAACCAAUUUUAGACAGAAUAAAAUUCAACAUCAGGGAUGUUAUUGGACUCUGAAAGAUUUUAAUUGGUCAUGAUUUAUAGUAAUAGAGGUAGCAUUGUUUAGAGGACUGAACAACCCCAAAAGCUAAAAAUUCCUUAGAGGGAAAUUUGACUUUGCUCAAGACUUAUGUAGUCUUGGCCAAGCAAAUCAAACUCUUCCUGCCUGUUUUAUCAUCUGUAAAAUGGUGUUAUUACUUAUAUUUCUGUUGGAGGUUGCAAAGUUUCAUUCAUUAAUACAAUGCCUUGAAUUCUUCAAAUGGAAGGUGUUAUAUAGAGGGGGGGCAUUGGUGUCACUUAAUAUGUUAAAGAGCUUUUAAGAUGUUAAACCUUCUAAACCUGCUAAGCAUUUUUAUAGAUAAAUAUCUGUAGAGCAUUUUAAAGAUAAAGCCGUAGUAAUUUCCAGGGUACCCCAGCUCCCCAGUAUCCAGGUGGCAAAUGAUGUAAAAUUAAAGCUU